AAGGCUUUAGCUUAAUUAAAGUGUCUGUUUUGCAUACAGAAGAUGUGGGAUAGUGUCCUGCAAGUCUUA
rnacentral:tRNA from 1 species